rnacentral:rRNA from 1 species
UACAGAGGGUGCGAGCGUUGUCCGGAAUCACUGGGCGUAAAGGGCGCGUAGGCGGCCUGAUAAGUAGGGGGUGAAAUCCUGUGGCUCAACUGCAGGGCUGCCUCCUAGACUGUCGGGCUUGAGCACGGUAGAGGCAGAUGGAAUUCCCGGUGUAGCGGUGGAAUGCGUAGAGAUCGGGAAGAACAUCGGUGGCGAAGGCGACACGCUGGGCCGUACCUGACACUGAUGCGCGACGGCAUGGGGAGCAAACAGG